UACGAAGGGGGCUAGCGUUGCUCGGAUUGACUGGGCGUAAAGGGCGCGUAGGCGGUUUGCAUAGUCAGACGUGAAAUUCCUGGGCUUAACCUGGGGGCUGCGUUUGAUACAUGCAGGCUUGAGUUCGGAAGAGGGUCGUGGAAUUCCCAGUGUAGAGGUGAAAUUCGUAGAUAUUGGGAAGAACACCGGUGGCGAAGGCGGCAUCCUGGACCAACACUGACACUGAGGAGCGAAAGCCAGGGGAGCAAACGGG
rnacentral:rRNA from 1 species